GCGUGCAUGGUAUAAAGGUUGUGCCCUUGGCUUCCACCCAAGAGAUGCGAGUUCGAGUCUUGCUGCCCGCACCA
rnacentral:tRNA from 1 species